UGGAGAAGGAUGUGGAAUUGCACAGACAACCAGGAUGUUGGCUCAGAAGCAGCCAUUCAUUUAAAGAGUGCGUAAUAGCUCACUGGUCGAGUGAUUGUGCGCCGAAGAUUCAACGGGGCUAAAACCAUCCGCCGAAGCUUCGGGAUCAUCGCAAGAUGAUCGGUAGAGGAGCAUUGUAUAAGCGCAGAAGCUGGAGCGAAAGCACCAGUGGAGUUUAUAGAAGAGAGAAUGCCGGUAUGAGUAACGAGAUGUAAGCGAGAAACUUACACGUCGAAAGCCCAAGGAUUCCUGGGGAAGGUUCAUCCGCCCAGGGUAAGUCGGGGCCUAAGCCGAGGACGAUAGUCGUAGGCGAUGGAAAACAGGUUGAGAUUCCUGUACCGCCCAUAUGAGUGAUGCAUUGACACAGAAGGAUAGCAUGAGCCGGUUGAUGGUAGAGCCGGUCGAAGAGCGUAGGCUGCUUGGUAGUGAAGUACGCCAGGCGUAAGGCUGAAACUUGAUAGGGAGCGAAAAUAAGUAGCGAAGCAUGUGAAUCCCCGCUGGCGAGAAAAGAUGCUGGCAAUGAUAUGGGCGCCCGUACCGCAAACCGACGCAGGUGGGCGAGGAGAGAAUCCUAAGACGAACGAGAGAACCCUUGUUAAGGAACUCGGCAAAAUGACCCCGUAACUUCGGGAGAAGGGGUGCCUCGAAAGAGGCCGCAGAGAAUAGUCACAAGCGACUGUUUAGCAAAAACACAGGUAUCUGCGAAAGCGAGAGCUGACGUAUAGGUGCUGACACCUGCCCGGUGCUGGAAGGUUAAGGGAACAUGUUAGAGCAAUCGAAGCAUCGAACCGAAGCCCCAGUAAACGGCGGCCGUAACUAUAACGGUCCUAAGGUAGCGAAAUUCCUUGUCGGGUAAGUUCCGACCCGCACGAAUGGCGUAACGACUUGGGCACUGUCUCAACAUGGGACCCGGCGAAAUUGUAGUAUGUGUGAAGAUGCACAUUACCCGCGAUAGGACGGAAAGACCCCGUAGAGCUUUACUGUAGUUUAACAUUGGAUUUCGGUAACAUAUGUACAGGAUAGGUGGGAGGCGAAGAACCAGGGACGCCAGUUUCUGGGGAGCCGACCUUGGGAUACCACUCUUGUGUUAUUGGAGUUCUAACGAAUUGCCGUGACCCGGGAUUCGGACAGUGUUAGAUGGGCAGUUUGACUGGGGCGGUCGCCUCCUAAAGAGUAACGGAGGCGUCCAAAGGUUCCCUCAGAAUGGUUGGAAACCAUUCGCAGAGUGUAAAGGCAGAAGGGAGCUUGACUGCGAGACCGACAGGUCGAGCAGGUGCGAAAGCAGGGCUUAGUGAUCCGGCGGUAUGAGAGUGGAAUUGCCGUCAUAUGCAUUUUUAACUAAUUCAAGAAUUGCCGCCUCAUCCGUAGAAAAAUUUUGUACCCCCAACAAUUCUGCAAUUGUGCUAUCUUCAAUAACAUAUUUCAACUCUUCCAUCACUUGCACCUCCUAAAACAUAUAAUUUUCAACAUCCUUUGACGUAAUUCUUACUGACUUACCACUUAUAGGUAUACCUACUUUAAAAACAUACUCUUUAAAUUCUUCACUUCUAAGUAUUUCAGCUGCAUUCUGCAAUGUAUAUCCAUUAUUAUCUUCCUUUUCCACGAUAUACAUUCCUGCAUAUGGUAUACAUUCUUGUUCUAAUUCAUAUACAUCCACAUCAUUUGUUACAACCGUUGAAAUUAAUAG
rnacentral:rRNA from 1 species